rnacentral:rRNA from 1 species
UACGUAGGGGGCGAGCGUUGUCCGAAGUUACUGGGCGUAAAGCGCGCGUAGGCGGUUAUUUAAGUUCGGGGUGAAAGGUUCAGCGCUCAACGCGAACAGUGCCUUGAAUACUGGGUGACUUGAGUUCGGGAGAGGGCAGUGGAAUUCCUGGUGUAGCGGUGAAAUGCGUAGAUAUCAGGAGGAACACCGAUGGCGAAGGCAG